UGUUGUUGAGGUGCAACUUUCUCAACUGUUUUUGAAUUUCUUUAGAUAAUGGCAUAAUGUGUUGAUUUUUGAGAUUUGUUAUUUUAUGUUGACCAGACAGAUUUUAUUUAAGUGAUUUAUUCAUUCUAAAGGUCUGACCGUAAUCAUACUUGGUUGUGGUUGGUGAAAUUGGUCUCAGCUUUUUUUUCCCCAAAAAAUUUGGGGUUAAUCACAGGUAACUCAUUUGUGAAAAAUAUAUUUCACAUACAGCCAAAUUGGUUUCGGUAUUUUUUUUUACCUUAAUAAAUGAAAAAAAUUAAAAACAUUUUUUACAACAAUAUACCUCUCUUACCAAUACCCUUAAAUGAAAAUCAUAUUGCAUUAACAUAUAAAGGAAUGAAUGAAGGACACAAGCAAAAGGUGUUUUUAUUUAUAGUCUUGGCACUGACAAGAGGCAAAGAGCUGAAAUUUCAGGUUUUGAGUAGAAGGUUGGCUUGUGUGAAGUGAAGUCAAACUCAAAACUUAGCUUCAAACUGAAUUUAUUCAUCUGAAUCAGUUCUGUCACACUGCUUUAAAGUCAGAAUCAAAACACAAAAAAAGGCACAUGGCUGCCCCAAAACAGGUUUCAUUACCUCACAUUUUCAGAACAUUUAAAGUCUUUCCCGAACUUUCGGACUGUGCGAAAAAGUGCAAGCAUGGCAAGCAGCUGAUCUGAGCACAGACAUUUCUUCCCCAAAUGUUUUUAAAUGAGUAUAAAAAUCUGAUCUCAGAACUGUGUUUGUUGCCAAAAUGACAUAGCAUUGCCACACUUUAAAAGUGAUGCAAAGCAUUAUAUCUUUUUCUUUUCUUUAGGAGAAAAAUCAAUCACGUUGCAUUGCAUUAUUAUUUAUUGCUCAUAAUGUGUCAAAAUAUUAGCAUUUGUAAAAUGAAAGGAUCUGGAAAAAGACCCAGAUCUACUUUUUCCAAAUCAACUGGUUCAUUUGAUUCAGUUGCACAAAAGUCCACCAUUUUUUACCAUCAAUGAUUGUGUGCAGUUACCUCUUGGAUGCAGCUUCAUAGCUUCAUAGCUUCAUAGCUUCAUAGCUUCAUAGCUUCAUAGCUUCAUAGCUUCAUAGCUUCAUAGCUUCAUAGCUUCAUAGCUUCAUAGCUUCAUAGCUUCAUAGCUUCAUAGCUUCAUAGCUUCAUAGCUUCAUAGCUUCAUAGCUUGUCCAAGGGUGUAAAUGAUACUCAAAACAUUGAGCCUGCUCUUUAUAAACCCUAAGCCCCUCCCUCCAGCCAAUCCAAUUGAAUUAGCUUUAAUUGACUAAAUUAUCAAACAUAUACGUCAACUUUAGGACUACAAACUCAAAAGGUAUAAACACUGAAGCAUGGAAAAAACACUGAUGCAUAAAUAAAUAAAUAAACAAAUAAGUGUUUUUAUUAAUUAUACAGCAGAAACAUAAGGCAACACUACAAUACCCCCUGCCCGAGUUCAGGAAUGGUAUGUUCCACUCCUAAAGGCGGGAAACUCCACUAUAACUGGGCUGAUUGUUACUCUAAUCUCUGUUUGUGAGUGUCUCAAGGAUCCUGCAAUUCUUCACUGGUGUCUGUGUUCAUUUGAAGAUCAUGCAGGUCCAUUUUCAGUGCUUCCACAAGCUCCUCAGAUGUCCUAGACCUAGACCAUUUCUGCUACAGUGGAUGAGCAGGAUUAUCAAGCUGGUCUUUCUUGACUGGACUGGUUGAAAAAGUGAAGAAAGCUUGUUCUGGGAACUGGGCAGGUUGAUGUCUCUGGUCUGCCCUACCAUCUCUUCACCACAGCAGAUGCAGCUUGAUCCAAUGUUUUAAGCUAAAUAUUACAUUAGUUUUCAGUGUUUCUGAAUGCAGUGGACAGAUCUGUAAUUCAUUUAGUGCAGAAUAAAAGUGUCUGGAAAAGA